rnacentral:rRNA from 1 species
GACGAACGCUGGCGGCGUGCUUAACACAUGCAAGUCGAACGAAGUGGCGAACGGGUGAGUAACGCGUAAUCAACCUGCCCUUCAGAGGGGGACAACCGUUGGAAACGACUGCUAAUACCGCAUACUGAAGGAUGGGAUUGCGUCGGAUGAGCUAGUUGGAGGGGUAACGGCCCACCAAGGCGAGGAUCAGUGGCCGGUCUGAGGGGAGGAACGGCCACAUUGGGACUUGGACACGGCCCAGACUCCUACGGGAGGGAGCAGUGGGGAAUCUUCCGCAAUGGACGAAAGUCUGACGGAGCAACGCCGCGGGAGUGAUGACGGCCUUCGGGUUGUAAAGCUCUGUUAAUCGGGACGCGGUACCGGAAUAGAAAGCCACGGCUAACUACGUGCCAGCAGCCGCGGUAAUAC